AUGUAAGAUUUCAUCUCCCACCUCAGAAGAGUGAAGAUCAUCACAUCCAAACUGGUGGAUUAUUGGAAUGAAGGAUUCUACUGAUUUAUCAUCUUGCCUGACAUCAAUACAAUGGAUCAAUUUUGAAGUACACAAUGUCCUAAGUAUGCUCUGAAAUAUUGGAGACAACUAGAAGAAUUAGUAUAGCACAAAUCCAAUUUAUAUACAUCGUAAUACUUAUUAAAAUUACUUUGAUCCAGAUUGGAGCAAAUUUAUUAAAUCGGCUAUAUAAUUUUCACGGAGUUAAACAGUUGUCUUUGAAAGACAAAUU